ACGCCCUUGGUGAAGCAGUCGUGUCUGCUGCUCUGGCUUUUGUGCCGGCUGGGAGAGACUAGGUCUGGAGUUCCUACGGCUCCUUGAGUUUUCUUCCAGGCUCUUGGCUCACACCUUGCCUACCCCGGGUUCAGUGAAUGGUGAGAUACAGCAAGGCCGGAGGAAGGUCCACCAGUGCUCUGCUGGCCUCUCUACAAAGUACUAAAGCUUGCUUUGCAGAUUGCAAUCAAAGAAUCUCAAAAACAAAGAAUGCCACCAUCAGUACACAGGAAAAAUGGGGAGAAGAAAGAUGCCAUUGCAAAGACCAACAGGGUGUGAGAUACAUAUCUUUUUUUCUUGUCGAAUCAGAAAGGAAAGCUAUCAAAGAACAACUUGCCUUGCUUUCAAGAGUCGUGUGUGAAACCUACAUUAGCGGUGUCUACCUUAUAACCUGACUUCAGGGUCCUCAUCUUUUAACCUUUCACACAACUGCUGCAAGCACAUGGCUAGGGAAACAUAAGGGGGCACAAUAAUCAUAGUGCUGUAAUGUCUUUCUUUUCUUUAAGCCGCACAAUUAAUUUACACAUUCCUUUUUUCAGAGGCAGAAAUGAAGUCUGAUUUGGGAAUUUAAAGAUAACCUCAGCAUUUUUUUUUUUUUUUUUUUUUACAAUAUUGGUCAGUUACAUGGGUAGUGGUGGAAAAGGAAGUCAAGUCAUUUAAGGAAGUAAAAGAUACUUGCUACAGAGAAAGAAAUUUUAAUGGACGUAGGAAGAAUCCUUUGCAAGAAGUGCAGGCAAAUGCAAAAUGGCAUUAUUAA
ensembl:lncRNA